rnacentral:rRNA from 1 species
CAUGCAUACAAACAGUAGGAGCCUUUACGGAGGUGACUGCGUACCUUUUGCAUAAUGGGUCAGCGACUUACAUUCUGUGGCGAGCUUAACCGAAUAGGGGAGGCGCAGCGAAAGCGAGUUCGAAAUGAGCGUUCAGUCGCAGGGUGUAGACCCGAAACCAGAUGAGCUAUCCAUGGCCAGGUUGAAGGUGUGGUAACACACACUGGAGGACCGAACCGACUAGUGUUGCAAAAUUAGCGGAUGAGCUGUGGAUAGGGGUGAAAGGCCAAACAAAUCUGGAGAUAGCUGGUUCUCCCCGAAAACUAUUGAGGUAGUGCCUCGUGUGUCGCUCCAGGGGGUAGAGCACUGUUUUGGCUAGGGGGACAUGGAGUCUUACCAAACCAAGGCAAACUCCGAAUACCUGGAAGCGUGAGCACGGGAGACAGAGCACCGGGUGCUAACGUCCGGACUCAAAAGGGAAACAACCCAGACCGCCGGCUAAGGUCCCAAAUAACAGCUAAGUGGAAAACGAAGUGGAAAGGCCGUGACAACCAGGAAGUUGGCUUAGAAGCAGCCAUCCUUCAAAGAAAGCGUAAUAGCUCACUGGUCGAGUCCUUCUGCGCGGAAGAUGUAACGGGGCUAAGCUGUUAACCGAAGCCGCGGAUGCACUGGUAAUCCAGUGCGUGGUAGGGGAGCGUUCUGUAAGUCUGCGAAGGCGGUUCGAGAGGACUGCUGGAGAUAUCAGAAGUGCGAAUGCUGACAUGAGUAACGUUAAAGCAGGUGAAAAGCCUGCUCGCCGUAAGCCCAAGGAUUCCUGCUCUACGUUCAUCGGAGCAGGGUGAGUCGGCUCCUAAGGUCAGGCCGAAAGGCGUAGCCGAUGGGAAUCAGGUUAAUAUUCCUGAACCUGCGUCAGAUGCGAUGGGGGGACGGAGCAUGAAAGAUCAUCCGGGUGUUGGAAGUCCCGGUUGUUUAGCGUAGGAGGUCUGCAGGCAAAUCCGCAGACGCAUCUCCAAGGCAAAGACACGUGCCGCCACGGCGGCGAAGUGAUCGGAAGUGCUUCCAAGAAAAGCCUCUAAGCACCAGUCUGACGCGGACCGUACCGCAAACCGACACUGGUGGGCGAGCUGAAUAUGCUCAGGCGCUUGAGAGAACUCGGGAGAAGGAACUCGGCAAAUUGACACCGUAACUUCGGAAGAAGGUGUGCCGUAGUACCGUGAGAGGAGAGACACCUUGAGCGGGAAACGGUCUCAGAGAAUAGGUGGCUGCGACUGUUUAUUAAAAACACAGCACUCUGCAAAGUCGAAAGACGACGUAUAGGGUGUGAUGCCUGCCCGGUGCUGGAAGAUUAAUUGAUGGGGUGAGAGCCCUUGAUCGAAGUCCCAGUAAACGGCGGCCGUAACUAUAACGGUCCUAAGGUAGCGAAAUUCCUUGUCGGGUAAGUUCCGACCUGCACGAAUGGCAUAACGAUGGCCACACUGUCUCCUCCCGAGACUCAGUGAAGUUGAAAUGUUUGUGAUGAUGCAAUCUACCCGCGGCUAGACGGAAAGACCCCAUGAACCUUUACUGCAGCUUUGCAUUGAACUGUGAACCGAUUUGUGUAGGAUAGGUGGGAGGCAGAGAAGAGGCCACGCCAGUGGUCUUGGAGCCGACCUUGAAAUACCACCCUGAUUUGUUUGCGGUUCUAACCACGGACAGUGAUCCUGUCUUGGGACCGUGCAUGGUAGGCAGUUUGACUGGGGCGGUCUCCUCCUAAAGGGUAACGGAGGAGUACGAAGGUACGCUAGGUACGGUCGGAAAUCGUGCUGAUAGUGCAAUGGCAAAAGCGUGCUUGACUGCGAGAGCAACAACUCGAGCAGAUGCGAAAGCAGGUCAUAGUGAUCCGGUGGCUCUGAAUGGAAGGGCCAUCGCUCAACGGAUAAAAGGUACUCUGGGG